rnacentral:lncRNA from 1 species
UUGACACCCUCUGCUAUAUCCUGCGUGAAUGCCAGGAGCAGAAUCAUCAACAGAAAAAUCAUGGCGACGCGCAGGAGCAGGAUGUGCGGGACAACGCCUGGAGGGACAGAUCCAACAUUAUUAGUGAAAUCGCUGCAGGUUCCCAAAUUAAAAAGAUGAAGACAAAGAUUGAACAGAUCGAGAGCAAGAUCAAACAAAUGGAGACCGACCAUGCCCAAGCAGUAGAAGCUGCCAUCGACGGCGCCAUCGACACAUUGUCUAAUGCUCUCUGGAUUCAAAAACCCUUGGGCAUUCUCUUGAAGGCGCUGCAUCUUCUCAUUCAACCAGGUGAAACCUCUGAUCUAGCAACAAGUCUCCCCCAACUCGUAAAUAUGCUACUAUGGGACCAUGAAAAGAUUGUCAAGGAAACGGCCAAGAAACUUAAACAACAUAUUGAAGCAGCAGAACCUCCGUCUCCCGGCGAAACAAGGGAGGAUGAUCUUGGACAGGGGAAACAACAAGAAGCCAAAACUGUGUUCCCAAUUAGUCUCCAGCAGACCAAAUAUGAACAUAUACUACACAAGAUGUUCCCAGCCAAGGAGCCCCAGGAAGCUGCUAGCUCUGGCAUUUCAGAUGGUAUUCAAGCAGCUCCUGAUGAUGUUUCGGCUACUGCUAUUACUUCAGUCAGCAGUGUUGAGAUCAAAGAAAUCAUUUACAGGAUCAUACAAAACAUGCUACAAGACAUCCUAAAGGAGCAGCAACAUCAGCUUGCCCAGUUGCCGGAAGCUGAAGGCAAACCUGUGAAGCAGGAGCAAGCCUCAGCCUCACCACAUAAGUCAGGUUAUCAUCAGGAGGAUGAAUACGCCAGUGCAAUCAAAGAAACCAAGCAAAAGAUUACACAAAUCGAAUCAAAUAUUCAGGAACAGUUGAUGAUCCAAAUAGUAGUUGAAAAGAUUAAAGAACAGUUGAAAUGUGAAAGGACCUUGAUUAUCAUUGAAGAUUAUGGUAACUAUGUACCAGAGUGGGUGGAGAUCAGAAAUGCUUUGAACCCUCUGACAAGCUCAGGAAGUGCACUGAUAGUGACCACCACAAGCAUUCAAAGGGCCAAAGAAAUUUGCUAUCCACUGCGAGAGCCCAUAACCAAUUCUAUUGUUAGCAUGUACCAUGAUAUUUUCCAGUAUAUAAGCCAGUCCAUGAAUAAAGGUGUCAACCAAAUUUUCCACGACGUAGUUGACAAGUGUCCAGAUGAGUUCUGCAUGAAAAUCUUCACUCAUGCCAUGUACACUAAUCCGAAAAGGAGCAAUGAAGAUCUGCGCAAGUUGCUUGCCUCAAUGGAUCCAGAAAAAUCGUUGGCCAUUAAUGCCAACAAGAUGAUCAAUUUCUCCUACAAUGAUCUUCGCAAAGAAUACAAGUCCUGCUUGCUAUACCUAGCAAUCUUCCCUCCUGGUUACCGCAUUAGACGGUCAACCUUAGUAGGACGUUGGGUUACAGAAGGGAUGAUAGCUAAGGAACAAUGGCCAAGUGCCGUACGUCAUGCUGAGAGAUGUUUUGAAGCACUAAUUGACCGGUGGCUUGUAUAUCCCGGCGAUAUUGAUGGUGAAGGGAAGGUAAAGAGUUGUAUUGUAAGUGAUCUUGUUCAUGACUUUAUUACCAAGAUUGCCAAGAAACAACACAUUCUAGAACCACGACUCUCACAACAUUUGGCUCAUCAUUUCUCCAUUUUCAAUGAUCUCCAACUCCAAGUCUCUGAUAGAAUUGAUACUUUCUUGAAAAAGCUCCAUGGAUCAUCUAAAUUGUCAAUGCUUAAGGUGCUAGAUCUAGAAUGUUGUCGUUACUUCAAGAAUAACCAACACUGCCUCAAGGACAUAUGUAGCAAUAUAUUACUACUCAAGUAUCUAAGCCUAAGGAGAACAGAUAUUACCAUGCUACCUAGUGAAAUCAACAAUCUCUACGAGCUGGAGGUAUUGGAUAUCCGGCAAACUAAGGUGCCUGCAUAUGCAACAAGAGAUCUUGUCCUUGUAAAGCUAAAGCGCCUGCUAGCUGGCCAUACUGAUUUGAUUAGUUCAAGCAAUGAUAAGAUCAAAAAUUCGAUCAGUGAUGAGAUUUCAUCAUUCUCCUUUCAAAAGAAGGCACCAUUAUUCUCCAGUGUCCAAGUUCCUAACGAGAUAAAAAAGAUGGCAGGCAUGGAGGUAUUGUCAAAUGUCAAGGCUUCACGAAAUGGUCAAGAGUUGAUAGACAUUGGGAAGCUCUGGCAGCUAAAAAAGCUCGGUGUGGUUAUCAACGACAAGGACAAUCAUCGAAAGAAUUUACUUAAAGCAAUCAGUGACCUUUAUGAGUGCCUCCGGUCUUUGUCAAUCUCUAUUGUUCCCAAUACCGAAAGAGAGGCCACUGCAUCUAGUGGAGAUUUACAACAGCACAUUCGUCAUUGCCUGAGAUUCCGUCCCAAGUUUCUUGAGAGUCUAAGAAUCCAUGGUUACACACACAAUGGUCAGCUUCUUGCAUUAUUAGCUGAAGGUCUCAGUAAGCUUGCCAAGGUAACUCUGAGUAGUACCUCAUUGAACCAAGGCAAUCUCAAGGUUCUUGGUGAGCUACCCAACUUACGGUAUUUCAGGCUCAGACACAAUGGAUACACAGACAAAACUCUCACCUUUAAGAAGGAUGAAUUCAAAAAGAUGAUAUCUUUUCUUGUUGAGGGCUCCAACAUGAUCAGCAUUGAAUUUCAGAAUGGAGCAGCUACAGCGCUCGAGAAGAUUGUACUGUCCUCCACCGACACAAAGUCUCUUUCUGGGCUUGGAGACCUUCCAAAGUUGAAAGAGCUCGAGAUGAAGAGCAACAGGUUCCUCGUUUCAUUCUCUGAAGAGGUAGAAACUCAAAAGAAAUACACUCGUAGCAUUCUCACUUUCAAGAAGGAUAAAUUCCAAAAGCUCAAAUACUUACUUGUUGAGGGCCCCAACAUGGAGACAGACAUAACCUUUGAAGUUGGUGGAGCUCGAGAGCUUGAGAAGGCCGUCUUGUCCUUCGCCAACAUAAUGUCUAUUUCUGGGGCCAACAACCUUCUCAAGUUUAAGCAGCUUGAGUUGAAGGGCAACAAGUCGUUGCUUCUUUCAUCACUUGAGAAUGCCAAAAAAGUUUCAGAGGUGACUCUUCAUUCUACCUGGCUGGAUCGUUCUAACCUACAAAUUCUUGGCAAGAAACCAAGAAUCCGCUGCCUAGUGCUCUCGCAACACUCUUACGACGAAAGCCAGCUUAUCUUCAACAACAAUGAGUUUCCCGAGCUCGCCAUUCUUAUUGUUAAGUGCUCUGGCAUCACUGAGAUCCAAUUCACCGACAGAGCAGCUCCUAAGCUCGAGAAGAUCAUCUGGUCUUUCACCAAGAUGAAUUCACUCUCGGGCAUCACCAACCUUCCCAAUCUGAAGGAGCUCGAGUUAACUGGUGACCAUGUCCCUGAUCAGGUGAGGGAUGACAUCAAAGCACAUAGAAACCAACCUGUUCUUACCCUCAGGCAGCUGGAGCAUCAAGACCAGGACCAUGGAAGGGCACAAGAAGACCCCAAUGAUGCAAGGUUUUCAGCAUGCUCAUGGUUGUUGAAGAACAAGUACUAGCCUGCCGCAGGACAAAACGAAGAUUUUCUUCCACGCAUAUCCUACAGCCUUCCAUCCUUCCAUGAUCACCAGCUCCCAGGAUGAAUUUCAUGUAUAUGCGUGUGGUCUGUCCCUGUGAAUUGUAAAUAUGUAAUGCUCAUGUAUCCGUGAAAUAAUGUUGUGUGCGUGUCAGUUUAUAUGUUAAAUAAUUUCCUAGCUACCAGCUGCUUAAUUGCUGCAUGAUGCAUGAUCAAUGUGCCAUGCAUCUGAUCAAUGCACGCAUGCUAGCGUGGUAGCUUGAGCAAUGGCUGCUGAUUCCAUCGAUGCAAGCUAUGUUCAUGUAUCAGGGAUUUGUGUGUGUUUCAUCAGGGCACUUGCUUACAUGUUUGCAUGCAUGUGUGUCUUGAGUUGAUCAGUGUGUGCGCUCUCCUUUGAGCAUACGAGUGUGGAACCAUCAGGUUGUGGUCCCAUCCUUCCAUUCAUGUAACAAGUGCAAAAACAUUUCUCGCGAGUCAAUUAAUUUACCCCAGUGUGUGGUUUGUUAUAUUUCUGCUCUGAUUGUUGGCUGCACAGGGUUUUGAAUUGUCGUGAAAGGGGGGGAACUUGUGAAAUUUCAGAUUUCUGUCAGAAAUUUCGAACUAAAUAUUGAAAACAAAAUAUGAAUUAGAACAAAUGGAAUGGGGACUCUUUCACAGAUGGGUUAGAGGGGAGAACCAGAGAAGAGAGUAUAUUAUAUUACUCUAACCAAGGAAAUAAGCUAGCUGUGUAUGUCAUCAGAGGAUUUCUGAAGUUUUAGCUCUUUAAAUGCCUCUUUCUUAGGCUUUCUUAGAUAGCUUCUGCCAACCAGCAAUCUGCAACCAGCGGAGGAGGAUGACCCCUGCUCGUGCGACCCCCGCCGAGGGGAGGUCGCCGGCGGCGACGACAUCCCCCCGCAAGCCCCCGCCAGCNNNNNNNNNNNNNNNNNNNNNNNNNNNNNNNNNNNNNNNNNNNNNNNNNNNNNNNNNNNNNNNNNNNNNNNNNNNNNNNNNNNNNNNNNNNNNNNNNNNNNNNNNNNNNNNNNNNNNNNNNNNNNNNNNNNNNNNNNNNNNNNNNNNNNNNNNNNNNNNNNNNNNNNNNNNNNNNNNNNNCGACGCCAUCGCUCCGCAAGCCCCAGCCAGCUCCCCCACCCGCUCCCCGCCCCCAUCCACUCCCGUGAGGGCUUCCAGCCACAUCCCCCCUCAUCUCCCAGCGGCUCAGAACAGAUCGAUUGGGGAGAACCCAGAGGAGGGAGAGUGACGCUCACCUGUGGCCCUCUCAGGUGGAGAGGGAGGCCGACGCCCGCUGACCGCACCUCGCCUGAGGGCGGUGCAGGACUGCUCCCGCCUUCAUGGCGCGAAGCCGCCCUCUCGCCAAUGCCUUCAAGACCGGGGCCAGUCCACCUCUGUUCAGGGCAUUCACUCCGGCUUGCCCAAAGCGGACCACAUGUU